UUUGGCUUUAUGGAAAAUUGAGGGUAUAUUUAGAUUUUGUCCGUUUUUAAUUUAUAGGUCAUUUUCCCAAAUCUACCCUUUCCAUAAGGAAACAGAUGACAUAAUUUACAAGUCUACCAUUGUAAUUUAGCUCUCACUUUGGUUUUAGGGUUCUGAAAAAACUACUAUAUAAGUAGGAGUUGGAGCAUGAGCUUCAACAAUCUAAGCUCUCCUGUUAUUUCAAUGCCUCUAAGUAACUCUGUUUGGUAGGAACUCUGUAGUUUGCGGGCGUAUAAUCUCUAGAUACUUCAAAAGGAGUGGAAUUUAGCUCUUUUUUCUAUUGAGGGUUUCCAAAGUUUUCAGAGAAUAACUUUCAGGUGUAUCUAACUUGCAAUCUGGUUUUGUUUGUUAAUGGCUCUGAACCUGAGUCAACAGCAGGCACCAAUUCAUGGUGAUCCGUCUGCCGCAUAGAGCCAAUAUUGAAUUUUCUUGGCCGGAUGAAGAUUCUUGAAACUCACUGUUGUUUCAUGUCACAAUAAUCCGGCUAUACUUUUUUUUUUUUCCUUUGUUAAUGGUUUAUGGUUCGAUCUGCUCUUGUGUGUAUGAACUUGCAAAUCCUUUAUAGAACUUGAUUAUAUAGCCUUUUUGCUUUGUAAGAUGGCACUCAGUCAGACACGGGUGUUUGAUUUAAUCUAAUGCCAAUUCACCUUUUGCAUGGUGCCUAGAAAGAGCUACUCUUCACGAUUGGAGGAGCAAUCAUUGCUUUCUUCAAAUUUUGAGCAGCUAAAUUCUAUAAUUAUUCAUCUUAUAUAACCAAAUUGGCUAUAAGUUAAGUUCUAUCAGAUGGUAGCUAAAAUGGUUUUGCUUGAAUUAUGCAGAAUGCAAUUUUGUUUUAAAGAAGCUUGGCUUAGAAAUUUUGCUUUUGGAAUCAGUUUAGCUUGAAAAGCUCUGCAGAUUAACACCUAAUUUGGGUUCUAAACAAUUUUAACUUAUGGGAAGGGAAAAACCUUUUUUAUUUGGCUGAUUCUAUGUUCUCAAAUAAAAGGGAUACUUCAUUGAGUGGAUUCCUCUCUGCAAGAUGUGUUUUGUCUUAAGUUUGUGGAAACAGUGACCGUAGAACGUGUGAUGGGAAUAGCAUAUGUGAAUGCUAUGUUUUUAUUCAAAUUCAUGUUGAUAUUCUAAUAUGAGAAUAUGACCUUUCAUAUAUCGAAGGUAUUCUUUUUCCUUCAAAAACAAAAUUACAAGAAUAAUGUGAAAUGAGUGGAUAUAAUAUUUGAAAGAGGAUCUGUUUCAAUCUCAAGUUGCUGAUGGAUACAAGAAUAUGAUAUGGAACUGUCAUCGGCAUUUUCUGAUGUUGAUGCCUUAGAAGCCUUCAGAUGAUAAAUGUCUCCUUAGGACAUUUGAGGCUGAACAAUUUGCAGCAGAGGCAAAGAUCAAGCUGGAUAGGAACAUUUUGAUACGAUACACGAGGUAUUCCUUGCCCUGGAGGGUGGACGCUAAAAUGGUUGUGUAAUAGUAGAAACCUGCCCCUCAUGACCUUAUGGGGGUUAGGUCUGCAGAAUCAAAGCCAACAAACAACUUUGUCUUUGGGGUAGAUGCUGUUGUAACUCUGCAUGAGAAUUUGAAACAAUGAUUACUUGUAUUGGAUUAUAAAUUGCCUGAAUAUCUUAGGAUAGCUAUUCCAUUUUGCAA